rnacentral:tRNA from 1 species
GAGAGGGGCUUGCUAGCAGCGAAAACUGCUAAUUUUCGCCUCCCCAGUUGAAUUCAGGGGCCCACUCG